ACUCAAAUGAAUUGACGGGGACCCGCACAAGCGGUGGAGUAUGUGGCUUAAUUCGAUGCAACGCGAAGAACCUUACCAGGGCUUGACAUGUAUUGUAACCCCGGUGAAAGCCGGGCAGCAUGGAAACAUGCGCUUUACACAGGUGCUGCAUGGCUGUCGUCAGCUCGUGUCGUGAGAUGUUGGGUUAAGUCCCGCAACGAGCGCAACCCUUAUGAUUUGUUGCCACCGGUUCAUUCCGAGCACUCAAAUCAGACUGCCCAGAUUAACUGGGAGGAAGGUGGGGAUGACGUCAAGUCCGUAUGGCCCUUACGUCCUGGGCUGCACACGUACUACAAUGUCCAGUACAAAUUGAACCGAGACCGCAAGGUGGAGGAAAUCAAUAAAACUGGGCUCAGUUCAGAUUGCAGGCUGCAACUCGCCUGCAUGAAGUCGGAAUCGCUAGUAAUGGUACAUCAGCAACGGUACCGUGAAUACGUUCCCGGGUCUUGUACACACCGCCCGU
rnacentral:rRNA from 1 species